ACCAGUGUGGUGUAGUGGUUUGAGUGUUGGACUAGGACUCUGGAGUCCAGGGUUCAAAUCCCAGCUCAGCCA
rnacentral:tRNA from 1 species